rnacentral:tRNA from 1 species
GAUGCAGCUCAGUGGUAGAGUGCUUGCCUAGCAUGCCUGAGGCCCUGGGUUCAAUCCACAACAACA